GCCAAAACCUCACUCUCUAAAGCCUACAAUAUUUGACAAUUUGCACACACUUUUUACAAUUUCAACAAGGUUGGCUACCAAACCAAACCAAUUCAACAAGGUUGGCUACCAAAUCAAACAAACUUCCCUUAGGCACAUGCCUAUUACUCUGGAUUUUGAACGAGAUGGACACCAUCAGGAAUAUUUAUUGAUUAUUUGAAUGUUUAAAUUUAUUUUGACAGUCAAGCACAGAGGAAGUGUUAUAAUCGGCAUUGAGAAGAUUUAAGUCAAUUGUCGUCUUCAGUUCUUCAAAAUUGGAAAGGCAAUCCUAACAUUGAAAUGGAUAAACUUCUCCAAGCUAAAUGAUGGCCAACUAAGUUCUUGUGUUUCUCGGCCAUCUGCGAAUUCACAGUUAAAUCCAGAAGUUCAAAGGGAGACACAUCCUUCCCCACUUUUGAUAGUGGAUAAUGUGCUUGAUUUGGAAUCUCUUGAAGUGGAUCCAAAGAAAGAUUGCCUAUUUCGAAUUGUGGUCGUAAUAUUCGAGAUAAAGUGAGAAUAAAUUAUAUUCAAAUAGGGCCUUGUAAACCGAUAGGCCAUGUCUCCCCUCAAACUAAGUUUGGGAACAAAAUGCUUCAAUUUAAUUCCACUUGGUUCAACGGACCAUAUUCGCAAUGGCUGGAGUAUAACAUAAAAGCAGAUGUUGCAUUUUGUUUGUGUUGUUAUUUAUUCAAGAACGAACGCGAAAGUCGUGGUAAUGGGGGAGAUGCAUUUACAAAAGACGGUUUUAGGGGUUAGAACAAAGGUGUGGAAUGACUCAAUGCACAUGUUGGUGAAGUGAAUAGUAUCCAUCACAAGUGUUUUAAUAAGAUGCAAGAUUUGAUAAAUCAACAUCAAUCAAUUCUUUCUUCUUUUGACAAGCAAAGAGAAAAAGUAAAAAGUGAUUAUUGUAUGCGCUUAAAAGCCUCGAUAGAUGUGGCAAUAUUUCUCUUAAGAUCGGGAUUUCCAUUUCGUGGACAUGAUGAAAGUGAAGAUUCCUGAAUAUAAAUGCCCUUUUUCUUGAACUUUUGGAAUGGCAUGGAGAUAGGCAUCCGGAUUUGGGAAAAGUAAUAUUACGUCAUGCUCCACUAAAUGAUAUGAUGAUUUGUCCGACAAUUCAGGAAGAGAUUGUGGAAGCUUGUGCUAAAGAAACAACAAGCUAUCAUUGAAGACCCGGGUGGUGAUUUUUUUGGAAUAUUAGUUGAUGAAUUAAAAGACGCCUCAUAUAACGAGCAAAUGACUGUAAUUUUGAGAUAUGUCAACAAAAGGGGAAUGGUUAUAGAACGAUUCUUGGAUA